GCUUUCUUAGCUCAGUGGUUUAGAGCUUUGUACUUAUGCGGUUACAGAUUUGUGUCCGAGCUUCCAAUGCAAGGGUCACCAGUUCGAUCCUGGUAGAAAGCA
rfam:Lentinula edodes NBRC 111202 DNA, contig: scaffold102.